AAGUCAAGAAAUUUUCAAAUGUAUCUUCAAUUUAUCAUCUAAAAAUUCAAACACCAGAUCCAUGAGACAAAGCUGUUUUACUUGAAGAGAUCAAUGCAGCAUCCAGGUUUAAGUUUUAGCUUAAUCUGUGGAAGCUAGAUAUCUUACCGCUGCUAAUUGAAUCAGGAAUGGUUGACAUUGAUUUGGUAUAAGAAAGGCAGCUUCAAUUCUGAAUCAAAUACUAUUGUGUCAAGGUGAUUCAUCUUCUAGCGUCUCAGUUUUGAUGCCGAUAUAAAGCAAUUGAAUUGUCUAGAGCACAAGUCCUGGACAAAAUAUAGUUACUGAUGCUUCCUCGAUUAUGGCUCGGGUAUAUGCUAAAUGUACUCAAUGUGUGAACCACUUGUCGCUGCAUCUAUAUAGUAAGCAUUUUAAGACUUGAUCUUUGAAUGCUAGUGGGAACACCAUAAAGAUACUCUCGGUCAUCAUUUAGGCAAAGACUAGAGGUUGCUCUGGGUCGGUAUUGUCUUCGGGAUCAAAGUCUUCCUCAACUUAAAGCCAACAAAUAUACUUUUUGAGUUGACAGAUCUUAAUGCUAGGAUAACAGAUUACAGUCUCUAGAGAUUAUGAUACAUGCAAGUACUAUAGAAAAAGUACUAUAUUUUUGCAGCACAUGGUUCCCCAACGUUCUGCAGUGCAUUCCAUCACCUAAUGCACAUUUUGGGUACUACUCAUGGAAUUGUUAACUAGUGGAUUGUCAAGGUUCAUGAAACUUUGUUUCUUUUUACUUAUAUUGCAUAUUAUUUUAGUAUGUGUUCAUGAAAAUUUCGAAAUGUAUUCUUAUGCGAAAAUUUUGAACUUCAUCGGCUUUUUGAUAAGAUCAUAAGUUCAAUCUAUGCAGAUAACAAUUCUGCAUUACUGUAAUGUAAAGCUUUUAUAUUUAUCUGACUACUUUCGGAAUAUAU